rnacentral:rRNA from 1 species
CCUACGGGUGGCUGCAGUGGGGAAUAUUGGACAAUGGGGGCAACCCUGAUCCAGCCAUGCCGCGUGAGUGAAGAAGGCCUUCGGGUUGUAAAGCUCUUUUGGCGGGGACGAUGAUGACGGUACCCGCAGAAUAAGCCCCGGCUAACUUCGUGCCAGCAGCCGCGGUAAGACGAAGGGGGCUAGCGUUGUUCGGAAUUACUGGGCGUAAAGGGCGCGUAGGCGGUUUGUUAAGUCAGGCGUGAAAGCCCUGGGCUCAACCUGGGAGGUGCGCUUGAUACUGGCAAGCUUGAGUGCAGGAGAGGAUGGUGGAAUUCCCAGUGUAGAGGUGAAAUUCGUAGAUAUUGGGAAGAACACCGGUGGCGAAGGCGGCCAUCUGGACUGCAACUGACGCUGAGGCGCGAAAGCGUGGGGAGCAAACAGGAUUAGAUACCCCAGUAGUC